GGUGGCUCAGUGGUAGAGUGCUUGCCUUGCAUGUAUGAUGCCCUGGGUUAGAAUCCUCAGCACCA
rnacentral:tRNA from 1 species